rnacentral:rRNA from 1 species
UACAGAGGGUGCAAGCGUUAAUCGGAAUUACUGGGCGUAAAGCGCAUGUAGGUGGUUUAGCAAGUUGGAUGUGAAAGCCCUGGGCUUAACCUAGGAACUGCAUUCAAAACUACUAAGCUAGAGUAAAGUAGAGGGAAGUGGAAUUUCCGGUGUAGCGGUGAAAUGCGUAGAUAUCGGAAGGAACACCAGUGGCGAAGGCGGCUUCCUGGACUUAUACUGACACUGAGAUGCGAAAGCGUGGGGAGCAAACAGG